GCGGGUGUUCGGCUACAUCACUGGGGCGCCAUGGUGCCUGGAGCUGGGCAGUUUUCUCAUCAGAGUGGGGACUGAUGAUGAUUAUUCCCCACCUUCUAAGAGACAAAGACCAACGAGCCACCACAGCCACCAGUCCCAGAACCCGCCAAUGCUGGGGAACGGAAAAUGAGGGAGUUCAACUCUGGCCCUCACAAUCCAGUGGAGGAGACGCAACUCAUCUGCCUCUGUCCCUCUGGGCACGCCUCAUGCCAGGUGCAUCUGUGGACAGGGGCCAUGCUCCUGGGCUUCCAAAGUUGGAGAAAGCUGCCAGGCUCAGGUCUGAAGGCCAGAAUUCUACAGUAAGUCCUACUGAGUCAAGGUGGGAGCAGGGUCGGUAGCUUCCGAGGCUCUGCGGGAGAAUCUGUUUCCUGGCCGUAGAGGUGGCCUGCACUCCUCAGCCUGUGCUGCCCGUCUCGAAUGACUGGAGUUUCCUGCUUCUGUCACUACACCUCCCACCCUCUCCAUCACCUGCUCUGCUCUUACAAGGAUCCGAAGAAAUGGAAUCAUCGUAUCGCUGAUCUACGUAAACAAACUGAAGAAUUGUCUGAAAGAAAAUAUGACAUGAACUUAUGAAUUCAACAGGUGAAGAUUUACAACUUGAUAAAUCAACUUUGUCAGCUCGAGCUGUAAAAGCCAAAGGUCCGGUGAUGAUCCCAUACCCUUUUUUCCAGUCUCAUGUUGAAGAUUUUUAUGUAGAAGGCCUUCCCAAAGGAAUUUUUUUUUUUUUUUUUUGAGAUGGAGUUUUCACUCUUAUCGCCCAGGCUGGGGUGCAAUGGCGCAACCUUGCUGGUCACUGCAACCUCUGCCUCCUGGGUUCAAGAAAUUCUCCUGCCUUAGCCUCCCAAGUCACUGGGAUUACAGGUGCCCACCACCACACCAGGCUAAUUUUUGUAUUUUUAGUGGAGAUGCGGUUUCACCAUGUUGGCCGGGCCAGUCUCGAACUCCUGACGUCAAGUGAUCUUCCCGCCUCGACUCCUGAUAUCAAGUGAUCUUCCCGCCUCGGCCUCCCAGAGUGCUGAGAUUACAGACGUGAACCCAUGCCUGGCCAGGAAUUUUGUUUUUUAGGAAGGCUUUCUACUAAUGGAAUUCCUGGCCUUGAGAGGAUGUUACUUUAGAAGGAAAGGAUUUUUUUGUUAUUAAAAGAGCCACCUAAGCUGAAGAUUCCCUUGAGAACAAGUACUGUCCCUAGUUUCCCAGUGCUGGAAUAUAGAAAAUGGAUGGACAACUGGAUCUACCAUGAAAGACUUGUGAAUCCAGGAAGAGAGACUGACUGGGCAACAUGUUAUUCAGGUACAAAAAGAUUUGGACUGUAACUUAAAAAUGAUCAAAUUAUGUUUCCCAUGCAUCAGGUGCAAUGGGAAGCUCUUCUGGAGAGUGAGAGAAGCUUCCAGUUAAGGUGACAUUGAAGCCAAGUCCUGAAAGAUGAGGAAGAGUUGUAUGAGAGUGGGGAGGGAAGGGGGAGGUGGAGGGAUGGGGAAUGGGCCGGGAUGGGAUAGCGCAAACUGCCCGGGAAGGGAAACCAGCACUGUACAGACCUGAACAACGAAGAUGGCAUAUUUUGUUCAGGGAAUGGUGAAUUAAGUGUGGCAGGAAUGCUUUGUAGACACAGUAAUUUGCUUGUAUGGAAUUUUGCCUGAGAGACCUCAUUGCAGUUUCUGAUUUUUUGAUGUCUUCAUCCAUCACUGUCCUUGUCAAAUAGUUUGGAACAGGUAUAAUGAUCACAAUAACCCCAAGCAUAAUAUUUCGUUAAUUCUCACAGAAUCACAUAUAGGUGCCACAGUUAUCCCCAUUUUAUGAAUGGAGUGAUGAAAACCUUAGGAAUAAUGAAUGAUUUGCGCAGGCUCACCUGGAUAUUAAGACUGAGUCAAAUGUUGGGUCUGGUCUGACUUUAAUGUUUGCUUUGUUCAUGAGCACCACAUAUUGCCUCUCCUAUGCAGUUAAGCAGGUAGGUGACAGAAAAGCCCAUGUUUGUCUCUACUCACACACUUCCGACUGAAUGUAUGUAUGGAGUUUCUACACCAGAUUCUUCAGUGCUCUGGAUAUUAACUGGGUAUCCCAUGACUUUAUUCUGACACUACCUGGAGUUAGCACAGACCCCACAAGUUAGGGGCUCAGUCCCACGAGGCCAUCCUCACUUCAGAUGACAAUGGCAAGUCCUAAGUUGUCACCAUACUUUUGACCAACCUGUUACCAAUCGGGGGUUCCCGUAACUGUCUUCUUGGGUUUAAUAAUUUGCUAGAACAGUUUACGGAACUCAGAAAAACAGUUUAUUUUCUUUUUUUCUGAGAGAGAGGGUCUUAUUUUGUUGCCCAGGCUGGUGUGCAAUGGUGCAGUCAUAGCUCAUUGCAGCCUUGAUUGUCUGGGUUCCAGUGGUUCUCCCACCUCAGCCUCCCUAGUAGCUGAGACUACAUGCCUGCACCACCACAUCUGGCUAGUUUCUUUUAUUUUUUGUAUAGAUGGGGUCUUGUUGUGUUGGCCAGGCUGGCCACAAAUUCCUGGUCUCAAGUGAUCCUCCCACCUCAGCCUCUGAAAGUGCUGGGAUUACAGAUGUGAGCCACCACAUCUGGCCAGUUCAUUUCCUAUUACUGGUUCAUUGUGAAGGAUACAUCUCAGAAACAGUCAAUGAAAGAGACGUGCAUGCUGGAUGCAGUGGCUCAUGCCUGUAAUCUCAGCACUUUGGGAGGCCAAGGUGGGAGGAUCGCUUAAACUCAGGAGUUUGAGACCAGCCUGGGCAACAUGGUGAAAACCUGUCUCUAUAAAAAAUUAAAAAAUAAUAAUAAUAACUGGUGUGGUGUUGUGCACCUAGAGUUCCAACUACUAGGGAAGCUGAGAUGAGAGGAUACCUUGAGCUGGGGACUGGGGAGGCUUAGGUUACAGUAAGCUGAGAUUGUGCCACUGCACUCCAGCUUGGACAAAAGAGCCUGAUCCUGUCUCAAAAAAAAGAAAGAUACCCAGGGCAAGUUAAGUUCGGAGGGGCACAGAGCUCCCAUGCCCUCUGUUGAACAUGCGACCCUCCCAGCAUCUCCUGUGUCCAGCAACCCUGAAAGCUCUGCAAACCCCUUUCAGGGUGUUUAUGGAGGCUUUAUUAUGCAAGCAUGAUUGAUAAAACCUUUGGCUGUUGGUGAUUAAGUCAGUCUCCAGCCCCUCUUCCCCCUGGAGUUCAGUGCAUGAGGCUGAAAGUUCCAAGCCUCUUACCAUGUGGUUGCAUGGUAAUCAGCCCUCCUCUUGAAGAAAUUUAGGAGCUUGCAGUCACCCAGUCAUCUCAACAACAUCCCCAAAUGCAUUCUUACCAUGCUGGAGAUCCCAAAGUUCUUAGAGGCUCUUGUGUUAGAAACCUGGGACCAAGAUCAAAUAUUAAAACAAAAGAUGCUCCUGUCACAUCUAUCACUGAGGUCUUUGUAAGAGCUUUAGAAGCUCUGUGCCAGGAACCAGGGACAGAGAUUAAAUAUAUAUUUCUUUUCUUUUUUUUGAGACAGAAUCUCCCUGUGCCAUCCAGGCUGGAGUGCAGUGAUGUGAUCAUAGCUCACUAUAGCUUUGGCCUUCUGAGAUCAAGCAAUCCUCCCAUCUCAA
rnacentral:lncRNA from 1 species